UCCGUGUUAACCACGGCAGUCUCCUUAGAGAGCCCAACUUAAUGCUGGCAACUAAGGACAAGGGUUGCGCUCGUUGCGGGACUUAACCCAACAUGUCACCACACGAGCUGACGACAGCCAUGCAGCACCUGUCUUCCUGCUGUAUUGCUACAGAAGCCCUAUCUCUAGGGUUGUCAGGAGAUGUCAAAUCCAGGUAAGGUUCUUCGCGUUGCUUCGAAUUAAACCACAUGAUCCACCGCUUGUGCGGGCCCCCGUCAAUUCCUUUGAGUUUUAGUCUUGCGACCGUACUUCCCAGGCGGGGUACUUAGUGCGUUAGCUCCGGUUCGGCGGGGAAUCGAAUCCCCAACACCUAGUAUGCAUCGUUUACGGCGUGGACUAA
rnacentral:misc_RNA from 1 species